ensembl:snRNA U6 U6 spliceosomal RNA
GUACUCACUUUGGCAGCACAUAUAUUAAAACUGGAGCAAUACAGAGAAGAUUAGCAUGGCCCCUACACAAGGACAGUUUUUCUUUUUCUGUCGACAAAUAAAUUAAU